AGUGAACGCUGGCGGUAGGCCUAACACAUGCAAGUCGAACGGCAGCACAGUAAGAGCUUGCUCUUACGGGUGGCGAGUGGCGGACGGGUGAGGAAUACAUCGGAAUCUACUUUUUCGUGGGGGAUAACGUAGGGAAACUUACGCUAAUACCGCAUACGACCUACGGGUGAAAGCAGUGGAUCUUCGGACCUUGCGCGAUUCAAUGAGCCGAGGCCGGAUUAGGUAGUUGGCGGGGUAAAGGCCCACCAAGGCAACGAUCCGUAGCUGGUCGGAGAGGAGGAUAGGCCACACUGGAACGGAGAACCGGUCCAACCUCCUAAGGGGGGCAGCAGGGGGGAAUUUUGCACAAGGGGCGCAAGCCUGAACGAGCAAAGCCGGGGGGGGGAAGAAGGCUUUCGGUUUGUAAAACUUUUUUAUUAGGGAAGAAAAAAUGUGUAAGUAACCAUGCACGUCUUGACGGUACCUAAUCAGAAAGCCCCGGCUAACUACGUG
rnacentral:rRNA from 1 species